UCGUCUUUUGCCAUGCUCGGUCAGCCAUCGUCUUCCACGACUGAUCUUGAGCCGGAUACCUCAUCAACGAGCGUACUAGACAAGAGAAAAUCACAACGCUUUUUGAGUGCGGAACCUCCUGGCUUUAGCAUCGAGGAAUUCGCAAUUUAUCUGUUGUCACAUCU
rnacentral:snoRNA from 1 species